UGGGGAAUAUUGCACAAUGGGCGCAAGCUUGAUGCAGCCAUGCCGCGUGUGUGAAGAAGGCCUUCGGGUUGUAAAGUACUUUCAGCGGGGAGGAAGGCGAUAAGGUUAAUAACCUUGUCGAUUGACGUUACCCGCAGAAGAAGCACCGGCUAACUCCGUGCCAGCAGCCGCGGUAAUACGGAGGGUGCAAGCGUUAAUCGGAAUUACUGGGCGUAAAGCGCACGCAGGCGGUUUGUUAAGUCAGAUGUGAAAUCCCCGGGCUCAACCUGGGAACUGCAGCUGAUACUGGCAAGCUUGAGUCUCGUAGAGGGGGGUAGAAUUCCAGGUGUAGCGGUGAAAUGCGUAGAGAUCUGGAGGAAUACCGGUGGCGAAGGCGGCCCCCUGGACGAAGACUGACGCUCAGGUGCGAAAGCGUGGGGAGCAAACAGG
rnacentral:rRNA from 1 species